CUUUUUCCUAAAAGCCUUUCCCCCAUUUAAGGAAAUGUGUAAAUACUAAAUCCCCUGAAACUCUCUUGAGAAAAACAGCCACAGAUGUACCUGUGGCUUGUAUUUUUCCCGGAAGCACCCUCAAGCUGACUUAAUAAACCUCGAUGAUUGAGAUUUAUGCCUUGGUCAUUCUAUUCAGAUGUCAGAAGGACCCAUGGGAAGACUCAGAGAGAAAGGUCUGUAGGAAGAGGCUAAGGAGCCCAAUCUUCUCCCAGAAAAUGGACGCUUCGGGUGGUCAUGAAUUGUAGGGCUAUUGGUACUGGGGUGAGUAAAGAGGAAGAGAAAGAGAGCAAGGCCCCAAGGAGAAGGGGAAACAGGGAGGGAGGAAGGGGCCAUGCCCUGUCCUCCCCUCCUCCAGUGUCCCUGCCCCUCUCCAACUUCAGAAUUCCCAUUGCUCCUUGAGAACUCAGACACUAGCUUCCCCACCAAGGCCUCCUCCCUCUGCAUUCCCCCAGCCUGUCCAUUCUCGGUCACACUGACUCCGAGUCUGGUCAGCUGCCUGUAUGCCUGUCUCACCCAGUUAACUUAAAUUCCUUGGGGUCAGGAACAAUGCUUUCUUCUUAUUUUCCAUGCCACAGCUCCAGUUACUGUGACUGACACACAGAAAUAUUGGCUUGGAGUCGAUUAUCUCAGGGAUGCAGCUCAAAGUAAAUGUGUCUUGUAUAGAGUGGGCAUAGGGAUGCUUUAAUGAGGAACGAGCAAGUCCCAAGAGGAGCAAGGAAAACUUGAGCUGCAACCACUUUGCAUUUCAGAUGAUGAAUUAGAGCGGUUGUUAUCGAAUCUGCCACCAGAGGGCGAUCCAGGCUGAAGGUGACAUUACACUUAGAGGGAUCCACAGAUUCAAGAGGCUGCUUGGGGAGGGCAGCACAGUGAAGUACAAGGACUUUGACAUCAGAGAGGCCUGGAUUCAAGUCCCAAUUUCUAUCUCUCUCUCUGCGGAAGCCAGCCACCGCUCUCCAAGGACUCUCGAGCAGCUCCAUCUACAGAUUCACAUGGAGAAGAAUUAAGGGUUCCUGCCAAUCACCAGCACCACUUUGCCAGCCUUGUAAGUGGGCCACCUUGGAAUUGGAGCCUCCAGUUCCUACUGACAUCUGACUGCAACAUCAUGAGAGACCCUGAGUUUGAACCACCCAGCUGAGCUGCUUCUGAGCUAACCCACUGAAACCGUUCCUUAGAUCCUGGGAUGAGGAGGUGGACCAGCAGAAGGUGGGCUUGUGAAGGCAGCCCGGGGUCCAAAUCCUCCUGGCUCUUCAGCUUAGCGGGUUAGUUAACAUUCAGAAGCCUUCAUCUCCCAUCUGCAAAAUGGGCAUGUCCAACUCAGAAGCUGCCUUGAAGAAAGGGUCUACCCAGCAUGGUGCGUGGAGCCUAAGCAGUCAGUACUUCAGGACUUCACCCGGCCCCUUUCCAAUAACUGCUGCUGUCGCCCUCACAGGAUGUCACCUUCAGCGUCUGAAAGCUGGGUUUGAUGCGUCUGGAAAGGCGUCCCUGACAGGCGUCGUUGCCAGGAGCCCCUAGUGCCACCAGCAGCCAGCAGGGGAGGGCGUCCUCUGCCCGCUCACUUCUGACCCUUCUCUCGUUGCACCCGGAACAUGGUGCAGCUGGGAGCAGCCUGGGCUGCGCGGAAGGCUCAGAUUUGGGGACGGCCCUUGCCAGUGACUGUGAGCUGGGGUGUCUUGGAAACUCCCAGUCUCAGCUUCUCCAUUUAUAAGAUGAGAAUGAUCAUACCAGACUCAGGCAAGGUUGUUUGUGCAUUAGUGAAAUCAGACGUAUUAAAUAAAGUACCACAUUGAUCGUGGAGUUGUUGAAUAACCAAGAACACGCCUAUCUGUCUCCAAAAAAUAAAUGUUGAAAAUGAUGAGGGCGUGGCUCUACGUUGGGAAGGGAAAUAGGGUGCUUGGAUGAGAGAAUCCUGAGGCAUGGGACAGUGGAGGGAUCCAGGAUAGUUCCAUAAGAAAAUGUGCUUGCACUAUCGUUUCUUUGCAGAGGCUCUUGUGUGCUGGGAGGCUGGCUGGGAUGGGGAGUUGGUGGCAGAGAAUAGUGUCUGUUUUCUUCCUGGUAGCUGGAGAGCUCUGCGACAGAGGACUGAGGUCAUUAGGAACAAGCGGGCAGGUAGGGACAGGCGUUGGAGUGGACUAGCCCUGGUUCCCCUGAAGCUCUCUGGGGUGGAGGUGAAGGAGCUUCUAGGGCAAAGUUUGCCAGUUAAGGAGGAGACACUGUUUGGGCUGCUCCCCGAAAUGGAGAACUUUUGUGUGUGCCUGGAGUGUUUCUAUUUGAGAAAAACUAUUUGAGAGGUGGGAAGGUGAAUUAUUUACCAGUAAGUUUAUCCUUCUCUCCUCAGAUUCUGCAGAACUUGCAGACCCAUAAACAAAUUAGAAAUUGCUUUUCUCCUCUUGCUUAACCUAAAUUUCUUUGUGGAAGCUGAAGGAAAAUAUGAGUAAUUUUCUAACAUAUUCAGUUACAGAGACAGCAAAGAGAAAUAUUCAAGAAAAAAAAAAAACAAACCCUGAGGUGCUACUGACUUCGUGUAUGUCUUAGCUGUAGACAGAAUUGGGAUUUCCUAAUAUGGGUUUGUUCCAGUACAGCCCCUCAGAAAGAUUUUCAUCAGCAAAACACACAUUGGAGGACCAGCUGCUGUGCAGUUGUCUCUUUUAAACCAUUUUCUCACUUCAUUGCUAAUUUUCCCAGCACCUUUCUUCUAACAGUUCUACAUUUUUGAUCUGCAAACAACCUGAGAUUAUUUCUUUCCCUCUUGGUAAAUAAAAGAAAUUUAAAGUAGAUUCUAGAAUGGGUUAGACUGUUUUAUUCCAG
rnacentral:lncRNA from 1 species